rnacentral:rRNA from 1 species
UACGUAGGUGGCAAGCGUUGUUCGGAAUUAUUGGGCGUAAAGGGCUCGUAGGCGGUUUGUCGCGUCGGGAGUGAAAAUCCAGGGCUUAACUCUGGACUGGCUUUCGAUACGGGCAGACUAGAGGUAUGCAGGGGAGAACGGAAUUCCUGGUGUAGCGGUGAAAUGCGCAGAUAUCAGGAGGAACACCGGUGGCGAAGGCGGUUCUCUGGGCAUUACCUGACGCUGAGGAGCGAAAGUGUGGGGAGCGAACAGG